rnacentral:rRNA from 1 species
AUUGAACGCUGGCGGCAGGCCUAACACAUGCAAGUCGAGCGGAUGAAGGGAGCUUUCUCCUGGAUUCAGCGUCGGACGGGUGAGUAAUGCCUAUGAAUCUGCCUGGUAUUGGGUGAUAACGUCCUGAAACGGGCGCUAAUACCACAUACUUCCUGAUGGAGAAAGUGGGUGAGCUUCGGACCUCACGCUAUCAGAUGAGCCUAGGUCGGAUUAGCUAGUUGGUUGGGUAAAGGCCUACCAAGGCGACGAUCCGUAACUGGUCUGAGAGGAUGAUCAGUCACACUGGAAGUGAGACACGGUCCAGACUACUACGGGAGGCAGCAGUGGGGAAUAUUGGACAAUGGGCGAAAGCCUGAUACAGCCAUGCGGCGUGUGUGAAGAAGGUCUUCGGAUUGUAAAGAACUUUAAGUUGGGAGGAAGGGCAGUAAGUUAAUACCUUGCUGUUUUGACGUUACCAACAGAAUAAGCACCGGCUAACUUCGUG